rnacentral:rRNA from 1 species
CCUACGGGAUGCAGCAGUGGGGAAUAUUGCACAAUGGGCGCAAGCCUGAUGCAGCCAUGCCGCGUGUAUGAAGAAGGCCUUAGGGUUGUAAAGUACUUUCAGUUGGGAGGAAGGCGUUGAUGCUAAUAUCAGCAACGAUUGACGUUACCAACAGAAGAAGCACCGGCUACUCCGUGCCAGCAGCCGCGGUAAUACGGAGGGUGCAAGCGUUAAUCGGAAUUACUGGGCGUAAAGCGCACGCAGGCGGUUGAUUAAGUUAGAUGUGAAAACCCCGGGCUUAACCUGGGAAUGGCAUCUAAGACUGGUCAGCUAGAGUCUUGUAGAGGGGGGGUAGAAUUCCAUGUGUAGCGGUGAAAUGCGUAGAGAUGUGGAGGAAUACCGGUGGCGAAGGCGACCCCCUGGACAAAGACUGACGCUCAGGUGCGAAAGCGUGGGGAGCAAACAGGAUUAGAUACCCUCGUAGUC